UGUUGCGGUUAAAAAGCUCGUAGUUGGAUCUCGGCAAGUAGAGGGCGGUAUGCUUCGUAGCAUUACUGCCCUAUUACUUGUAGUUUUGCCAGAGGUUCCUGGGUGCUCUUAAUCGAGUGUCUAGGGAUGCUGGCAGGUUUACUUUGAAAAAAUUAGAGUGCUCAAAGCAGGCUAUUACGCUUGAAUAUUCGUGCAUGGAAUAAUAGAAUAGGAAGUUGUUUCUAUUUUGUUGGUUUUCGGAAAUCGACUUAAUGAUUAAUAGGGACAGUCGGGGGCAUUUGUAUUCAAACGACAGAGGUGAAAUUCUUGGACCGUUUGAAGACAAACUACUGCGAAAGCAUUUGCCAAGUAUGUUUUCAUUAAUCAAGAACGAAAGUUAGAGGUUCGAAGGCGAUUAGAUACCGCCCUAGUUCUAACCAUAAACGAUGCCAGCUAGCGAUCUGAGGACGUUUUUUUUGUAGACUCCUCAGGAAGCUUCCCGGGAAACCAAAGCGUGUGGGUUCCGGGGGGAAGUAUGGUUGCAAAGCUGAAACUUAAAGGAAUUGACGGAAGGGCACCACCAGGAGUGGAGCCUGCGGCU
rnacentral:rRNA from 1 species